GAUGAACGCUGGCGGCGUGCCUAAUACAUGCAAGUCGAGCGAAGCGGGGACGGGUGAGUAACACGUGGAUAACCUCCUAUAAGACUGGGAUAACUUCGGGAAACCGGAGCUAAACCGGAUACUGAUAAAUGGAUCCGCGCUGCAUUAGCUAGUUGGUAAGGUAACGGCUUACCAAGGCAACGAUGCAUAGCCGACCUGCGAGGGGGACCGGCCACACUGGCACUGAGACACGGUCCAGACUCCUACGGGAGGCAGCAGUAGGGAAUCUUCCGCAAUGGGCGAAAGCCUGACGGAGCAACGCCGCGUGAGUGAUGAAGGCCUUCGGAUCGUAAAGCACUGUUAGUAGGGAAGCGGUACCUAAUCAGAAAGCCACGGCUAACUACGUGUCAGCAGCCGCGGUAAUUC
rnacentral:rRNA from 1 species